CUGUGCCAGGGGAAUAUCCUCCCUCUUCACUGCACUCUCACUUUGCCCCCUGGUGGGAUAACACAGCAUGACCUUGCUGUCCUGCCACGACCAUGAUACGUUACCACAGUUCAACUUACUCUGAGUUGUGUAAUGUGGCUCAAAUUGUGUGUGGGUUUAACUAGGUAAGGUGUCUGGGUGUGUUUCUGACACAGUCACACGGACUGUACCAUCUCUCUGUCUCCCCAGUAGGAACACCCCAUCUACCCCAUCCAGUAACCUCAGCCCUCCACUCUCCCUCUUUCUCUCCCUCCCCCCGGGUAACUGGACCCAGAGGCCCCCGGAGGCCCUUUGUGUGCCUGGAGGAGAGGCUUGGUGCUGGCUCGCCUGCUGAAGAGAGAGAGGGUGGUCAGAGAGCAGGAUGGAGAGAAGGAUGAAGAUGGGGGAGGAGAGAGAGAGGCGGAGCUGCAUCUGGACGCUUUGUCGCCUACGUCUCGGAUCUACCUGCACCUGCAAAUCUCCUGGAACAGUUACAUUAUAAGGUCGACGUUGCUGUUGGACCCCCUCUACAGAAGGAGAUGCAAUGUCAUGUUGAACACCUCAACACAGAAACAACCCCCAAUUAGUUGGGAGCGUACAGCCCACCUGUUCCUCCAGCUGAGUGGUGAUUUGCUUGAGGAGGGCAUCAGUCUGGAGAGCCUAUAUCUGCUCCUCCAGGAGUUCUGCAAUGCAGAAUCACCUGCAGGAAACUCUUCUGGAGGGUGAGAUCACAGGGAUCUUUGUGUGUGUGUGUUUGUUUCUGUGACUUUCUGUGUCCUGCUUUCUCCAUACAUAACUGUGUGUGUGUUAGUCCAAUGACAUGUUUCCAUUCCUGGUGCGGAUGCUGGAACAGGCUGGAGACCAAUACAGCAGACAGCCUACUGCUGUGUACUCUGAUCGCUCAGAUCCUGGCCUUGACGUUCAGGGAUCGAGCAGGCUCGACUCAACAUGCUUACGGUCAAGCAGUAAUAUGUGAAGCGGCCUUGUGUAGAGGAGAAGUUGACCCCCGAUUACCCAUCAGCCAGCCUGAUUUUCGCCUUGUCUCUCAACUGCUGGGACUUAUCAUACAGAAUUCCUGACCACAAACACUACAUGCAUUUCCUUGAUUCAUAGACAGAUGUACUUAUUCUCAUGUGUUUUUAGAAUUAUACUGUAUAUCAGGGUUUCACAAACUAUGGGUCGGGACUUAAAGUGGGCCCUGUGCAUGUGAGAUGUGGUUAGUGAGAUAUGAGAAUACAUCUACAAUCACACUGUAUUUCUUAAUUUGGGUCGUUGGAGGACAAUUUGGGUCACAGAGGAAGGUCAACUGGACAUAUACUCUAUUAAAAACUCUCACAGACAUAGGGACAGGACAUUGCUCUGGGAAAGUGUACCUUUGUCUGAGUGGUGUGUGGUUUCUGAAGGACCUUAGAAGUUUCCCUCCUGUGUGGUUGGGUACUGUACAUACUUGUGUUUAUGUCUUUGCACUUGGUGAGAUGUACGAUGCGAGGCAUCUCACUCUUCUCUUCUCUCCUACACACGGCCUUGUUCUCAGGUUAACUGUCAUGUAAAUGGCAGUCAGAAUGGUCAGAUUGGUCGCAAUAAAAUGUAUGAAUUUAAUCAAGGUACUGCACAUCUCACUUUCUAGGAUAUUCAGCUUACACUAGAAAUAAUAAAUAUUCCACUUGUUGAGCAAAAGGCAUGUUCUACCGAUGUACCUUAUUACUGAUAUAGGCCUACUGAUUUGUAAGACCUUGUGUGCAGUAUUUACUUAGACACAUUAUCGUUUUGAUUCAGAAUUGAAUGCAUUUAUUUAGAUUUGAUUGUGUAUCAUCAUCUUACUCUCUGUGAGCGAAGGAUUGUAACCAAAGGUUUUCUAGAACUCGACCUUGGUAAAUGGCCUAAAAUAAAGUUACUAUCCAGCUCUAUUGUUUAUAUCUUGUGUUGUCCAGCUUCACGGGAGACAACAUCCAUAACAUUUGGAAAUAAAACCUAUAUGUUAUGUCAUGUCCCC